CUGGGACCGCCACAGGGCCCUGGGACGGGCUGCCGUUGGGGGUAGUGCCGCUAGGGGAGAUGGAGGGGGUGAUCGGUAGGAACUGUUGAUCUGGCACAAGGUUCUGAUGUGGGAUGUGCUUCUGAACUGGGGUCAGGUCUGUGGUCGGGUAUGGGAUCAGACCUGAGGUCGGGGUCGGGUCCAGGGUCAGGUUUGUAGUCAGACCUGAGGUCGGAGUCCGGUCCAGCAGGGUCAGCUCUGUGGUCGUGGUAAGGUCUGUGGUCAGGUCUGUGGUCACAGUAAGGUCUGUGGUCAGGUCUGUGGUCGUGGUAAGGUCUGUGGUCAGGUCUGUGGUCGUGGUAAGGUCUGUGGUCAGGUCUGUGGUCACAGUAAGGUCUGUGGUCAGGUCUGUGGUCAGGUCGGUGGGUCAGGUCUGUGGUCACAGUAAGGUCUGUGGUCAGGUCUGUGGUCACAGUAAGGUCUGUGGUCAGCUCUGUGGUCAGGUCUGUGGUCAGGUCUGUGGUCGCGG
ensembl:lncRNA